AAAACGCCAGAUCAUGUGUGGACUUAUUCCAGAGGGAAAAGGAAAGCCUGAUAAGUACAAUGUCAAAUAUGUUCAUCCAGACACAAUCCAUGAAAACUCAAUGGAAGCAAAAGUUGGACUUAGAAAAUCAAACUCUUUGUGUCUUGAAGAAGCAAAUUGAAGACGAAAGAAAUGAUGUGAACAGAGAAAAUGAGAAGCUCACUGAAAACAGGUUGAAGUUAGAAAUGACAAACAAUAACAUACAAAUCCAGUCUGAUAUGUUGUAUCAAGUUAUGAAAGAGGGUAAAGACAAAUUAGAGAAGUUAAAGACUGAGCUGCAAGAGAAGACAGGGCAAGCAGACAGUCUGUUGUUUGACAUCAACACACAGAAAAGCAUCAUUAAAGAUGUGAUUCUUCAGGUUCAAUCAGACAGACAGAAGCUUGUAAUUGCUCUGAACACCAUCACCUUGAAAGAAAGAGAACAACAAGUCAAAGAAAAUGAUCUCACAAAACUGCAACAACAACUGGAAACCACCAAGACUGCAGUGGCAGAAGAAAGACAAGGACUGGAGGAGCUGAAGGAAAAACUCAGGAGAUCAAAACAAGAUGUUGAGAGUGAAAGAAAACAGCUGGAGGACAUGAAGAACGUCAUGGAAACCAGCAAGACUGCAGUGGCAGAAGAAAGACAAGAACUAGAGGAGCUUAAGGAACACCUCAGGAGAGAAAAGCAAGACAUUGAGAUUGAAAGAAAACAGCUGGAGGAAAUGAAGAACGUCAUGGAAACCAGCAAGACUGCAGUGGCAGAAGAAAGACAAGAACUAGAGGAGCUGAAGGAGCAACUCAGGAAAGAAAAGCAAGACAUUGAGAGUGAAAGAAAACAGCUGGAGGACAUGAAGAACGUCAUGGAAACCAGCAAGACUGCAGUGGCAGAAGAAAGACAAGAGCUUGAGGUGCUGAAGGAACAACUCAGGAGAGCAAAACAAGACAUUGUGAGUGAAAGAAAACAGCUGGAGGACAUGAAGAACGUCAUGGAAACCAGCAAGACUGCAGUGGCAGAAGAAAGACAAGAGCUUGAGGAGCUGAAGGAACAACUCAGGAGAGCAAAACAAGACAUUGAGAGUGAAAGAAAACAGCUGGAGGACAUGAAGAACGUCAUGGACAGAGACAGAGAAGGUUUACUAAGUGAAAAGAACAGAAUGGAAGUUGAAUGGGCGGAAAUAAUAAAGAGAGAAGAUCAGCUGCAGAAAAUAGUGAUGUCGGUAAAGAGCCUGAGAGACAAACUUGAAGAGAUGAAAGAAAGGUUACGUCUCAGUAGAGAAAAGCAAGACAUUGAGAGUGAAAGAAAACAGCUGGAGGAAAUGAAGAACGUCAUGGAAACCAGCAAGACUGCAGUGGCAAAAGAAAGACAAGAGCUUGAGGAGCUGAAGGAACAACUCAGGAGAGCAAAACAAGACAUUGAGAGUGAAAGAAAACAGCUGGAGGACAUGAAGAAUGCCAUGGACAGAGACAGAGAAGGUUUACUAAGUGAAAAGAACAGAAUGGAAGUUGAAUGGGCGGAAAUAAUAAAGAGAGAAGAUCAGCUGCAGAAAAUAGUGAUGUCGGUAAAGAGCCUGAGAGACAAACUUGAAGAGAUGAAAGAAAGGUUACGUGAAAACCUGAAUACCAAAUUGGAAAAGAUGCAACAAGAUAAUGACAAUUUACUGUUGAUGGCCAAUGAAUGUGAGCACAAGCUCACAGAACUAAAUAGUUGCAUGGAAAACGCCAGAUCAUGUGUGGACUUAUUCCAGAGGGAAAAGGAAAGCCUGAUAAGUACAAUGUCAAAUAUGUUCAUCCAGACACAAUCCAUGAAAACUCAAUGGAAGCAAAAGUUGGACUUAGAAAAUCAAACUCUUUGUGUCUUGAAGAAGCAAAUUGAAGACGAAAGAAAUGAUGUGAACAGAGAAAAUGAGAAGCUCACUGAAAACAGGUUGAAGUUAGAAAUGACAAACAAUAACAUACAAAUCCAGUCUGAUAUGUUGUAUCAAGUUAUGAAAGAGGGUAAAGACAAAUUAGAGAAGUUAAAGACUGAGCUGCAAGAGAAGACAGGGCAAGCAGACAAUCUAUUGUUUGACAUCAACACACAGAACAGCAUCAUUAAAGAUGUGAUUCUUCAGGUUCAAUCAGACAGAGAGAAGCUUGUAAUUGCUCUGAACACCAUCACCUUGAAAGAAAGAGAACAACAAGUCAAAGAAAAUGAUCUCACAAAACUGCAACAACAACUGGAAACCAGCAAGACUGCUGUGGCAAAAGAAAGACAAGAGCUGGAGGAGCUGAAGGAACAACUCAGGAGAGAAAAGCAAGACAUUGAGAGUGAAAGAAAACAGCUGGAGGAAAUGAAGAACGUCAUGGAAACCAGCAAGACUGCAGUGGCAGAAGAAAGACAAGA
rnacentral:lncRNA from 1 species